rnacentral:rRNA from 2 species
UUUAUGGAGAGUUUGAUCCUGGCUCAGGAUGAACGCUGGCGGCGUGCCUAAUACAUGCAAGUCGAGCGAACAGAUAAGGAGCUUGCUCCUUUGACGUUAGCGGCGGAC